CCUACGGGUCGCAGCAGUGGGGAAUAUUGCACAAUGGGGGAAACCCUGCUGCAGCGACGCCGCGUGAGUGAAGAAGUAUUUCGGUACGUAAAGCUCUAUCAGCAGGGAAGAAAAUGACGGUACCUGACUAAGAAGCCCCGGCUAACUACGUGCCAGCGACCGCGGUAAUACGUAGGGGGCAAGCGUUAUACGGAUUUACUGGGUGUAAAGGGAGCGUAGACGGCUGUGCAAGUCUGAAGUGAAAGCCCGUGGCUCAACCGCGGAACUGCUUUGGAAACUGUAUGGCUUGAGUACUGGAGAGUCAGGCUGAAUUCCUAGUGUAGCGGUGAAAUGCGUAGCUAUUAGGAGGAACACCAGUGGCGAAGGCGGCCUGCUGGACAGAAACUGACGUUGAGGCUCGAAAGCGUGGGGAGCAAACAGGAUUAGAUACCCUAGUAGUC
rnacentral:rRNA from 1 species